ACCAUUUCUUACACUUAAAAACACUAAAUACAAACUAUUUCUUAACCAUUUAUUGUGAAAUACAGGUACAAGAAAAUAAAGAGAGGAAAACCCCUACUAAACCAAAUAGCCCGGGAUGGCUCACUUCGAGAAGAUGUUGACCAACUCUUUGAGAUACUGGAGAGACUCAUCUCUGUUCAGCAGACCCGAGAGGAAAGGAAGGAGCUGUCUGACCCUCCCCCACUACCACAAUUUGAG
rnacentral:lncRNA from 1 species